rnacentral:rRNA from 1 species
GAUGAACGCUGGCGGCGUGCCUAAUACAUGCAAGUCGAGCGAACGGACGAGAAGCUUGCUUCUCUGAUGUUAGCGGCGGACGGGUGAGUAACACGUGGAUAACCUACCUAUAAGACUGGGAUAACUUCGGGAAACCGGAGCUAAUACCGGAUGAUAUUUUGAACCGCAUGGUUCAAAAGUGAAAGACGGUCUUGCUGUCACUUAUAGAUGGAUCCGCGCUGCAUUUGCUAGUUGGUAAGGUAACGGCUUACCAAGGCAACGAUGCAUAGCCGACCUGAGAGGGUGAUCGGCCACACUGGAACUGAGACACGGUCCAGACUCCUACGGGAGGCAGCAGUAGGGAAUCUUCCGCAAUGGGCGAAAGCCUGACGGAGCAACGCCGCGUGAGUGAUGAAGGUCUUCGGAUCGUAAAACUCCGUUAUUAGGGAAGAACAUAUGUGUAAGUAACUGUGCACAUCUUGACGGUACCUAAUCAGAAAGCCACGGCUAACUACGUG